rnacentral:rRNA from 1 species
AUGAACGCUGGCGGCGUGCCUAAUACAUGCAAGUCGAGCGAACAGACGAGGAGCUUGCUCCUCUGACGUUAGCGGCGGACGGGUGAGUAACACGAGGAUAACCUACCUAUAAGACUGGGAUAACUUCGGGAAACCGGAGCUAAUACCGGAUAAUAUAUUGAACCGCAUGGUUCAAUAGUGAAAGACGGUUUUGCUGUCACUUAUAGAUGGAUCCGCGCCGCAUUAGCUAGUUGGUAAGGUAACGGCUUACCAAGGCGACGAUGCGUAGCCGACCUGAGAGGGUGAUCGGCCACACUGGAACUGAGACACGGUCCAGACUCCUACGGGAGGCAGCAGUAGGGAAUCUUCCGCAAUGGGCGAAAGCCUGACGGAGCAACGCCGCGUGAGUGAUGAAGGUCUUCGGAUCGUAAAACUCUGUUAUUAGGGAAGAACAAAUGUGUAAGUAACUAUGCACGUCUUGACGGUACCUAAUCAGAAAGCCACGGCUAACUACGUG